GUCCAUGGUAGUGCAUUGGGGCGAGUAUAAAAGAGCGCACGAUGGCGGGAAAAUUUGAAUAGCUGACGGGCAGGCGAUAGUGAAUGUACAGGUUUUUAAAAGGAAUGCAAGCCGUAAAUACGGGGUACACCACGGCAUCACCACCAACACCAACGGUAUUACAACGCUGAGAAAAGCUGCAACGAUUGCUGAAUUUAAACUGCUGGAAGGUUUUAUCCCCCACAAGAUAUCCACAGAUUUUCUGUCCUUAUAUUACAGCGUAUGAGAGGAAAGGAGGGAAAAUGCAGGAAGUGAUUUCAGACAUUAUUUUGGCGAUAACAAGGGUAGUCCGAUCCACAGGGUCUGCCACUGAACUGGAACUGGAACUAAAAUGGAUUAGUAAUUUAAAACUAUAUCAUGAAUGAUCUGCGUGGUUUUACUGGACAAAUAGGCCUAGUAUUAAUAGGAUCCAGCAAAAAGCGAGGUACAGGAAGUCCACCAGGAAACAUCGAUACAUUAGCACAAGAAUUAACCUAAUGUCGACCAAGUCUUCUACCCCAGAUCAGGGCCUGGAUUGCGAUCGAUUGCUGCCUAAUGCAUGCUGAUCAAUAAUGGGAUAUAGAAUAGGCCUAUGCUAGACUAUACAUUAUCACCGUGUGGCCUGGUCAACGAGGAUCGAUCAGCAGGAGAUGAUGACGGGUCAGGUGGAUAGGAGAAUGUUGCUUGGAAGGCAUCCGCAUGGGGUUAUCCUACGGUGAGAUAGGUCUGACGUCCGUCACGGUUCACCGGCCAAUUCUGUUUCCAACUUGAGAGUUAGGCUACAACAUGCAGGAUCACCAUAAGAAGAUGACAGAGGACAUACUAAUACUUCAAUGGCCCUGCGUUUAAUGAAAUUUUAUCCGACAGUUACCAUGGGAACUCAGUAACUCAACAGUUCAGCCAUGCUUUUCAGCCAAUCAAAAUCAAGGAAAAAUGUCAGAUCUUACUAUUUGUCAGACAACAAAUGUUGAUGAAACGCUCCACAGGGAAUAGUUUUAUAAACAUUGUCGUCCAAUUAAUUGUCAGAUAUGACAACUUGCCUUGAUUCUGAUUGGCUGAGAAGCAGUGUUACUAUGGUAACAGUUGGAUAAAACACCCUGUAAAUUAUUUCAUGAAACGCUCCCCCGAGGGCAAUACUUCUAGUCAAAGAAAGGACGCGAGGUGAAAAGAUGACAUUCCUAUGGGAGUACACUUACCGAGGCAAAAAUUGACCUGGUGUCGAUUGAUGGCCACCUCAUGCAUCAUGGGCCACAAACUUGAAGUUGGAUCAGGCUUACGUUCGAGUGUGUCACCAUCCAUGUUACCUGGUCAGCGAGGAAGAGAACAGGCUUUCACCAGGAGAUCCUGGAUAGCGGGAGAGGUGGAUAGGAGAAUGUUACUUGGAAGGCAUCCGCAUGUGGUUAUCCUACGACCAAAUGAGUUACGUCAUUGCUGACCAUCCUAUUCGAUAUGCAACUUGUAUGAGAGGAUCCAGUUUUACUUUGAGGAUGAGGAUAUGGAUGAUAGAUUUCGGUCGACGAUUAGGCCUAUACUAUGACGAUCCCCAUGGUUAGAAGGUUCACCCGAUGCAGUCUCAUCAUGGAGAGGGGUUGGUGAUCAAAGAUCUUGUUGGUCUUAUGCAUAUCUUCCACUGGCCAAAGCCCAAGGGACUUACAUACGUUGCUUACAUGCACGAAAGGAAUGCUCCUGAUAAAAUACUACAAUAUGACCAACAUCAUCUUGAAAUAGGUCGACCAAAUUUUGCCCACCUUUCCACUCAUGCGACAGCAUCAUUCUUUCACAUGAUUUGUUUGGGUUUUUUAUGGCGUUAUUCAGAUAAAAAUAACGUAAAUUGGUGAAGAACUAGGUAACAAAACCUUCGCCUACAACCUUGAGUAGGGAAUUUUUGCAUUUUACACAUUAACUGUAUGUGGAUUCUCAACUGAUUUCUUUUAGUUCGCGGGGCCGCUCCCACGCAUGCUGUAAUAUAAAGUCCCUGAAUUUGUCACUUCGUACUUCCCUGUCAAACAUUAUCUAAAGAUUGUGUCAUUAUUUAUUUGGAUUUCAGUACACUGCAUGCGGUCCAUGGUGAUGAAAAAUGAAUUGAAUUGAAUAACUAGUUGUUGAAAGAGUAAGCAUAUAGCCUUUGGAGGCUUUUAAAGGGCAUUGUUUUCUAAAGCUCCGUCGCUUUGCUUCCUUGCACAAUUCUCUCGAAAUCGCAUUAUUUCACACUCCUAUUAUUAUUAUUUAUUCGGCCAUUAAAAACAUACAAAAAUUGUACAAUUAAAUUACAAAAAUACAUUUUGAAAUUGGAUAAUUGAAUAUAAGUAAAGUAGAAAUGAAAGAAAAGAAGAAAAGAGUAAGAAAACGGUUUUCCAUAUAGGCCAGGGCUCGCAAAAAUAAAAUUCAGUACUAUUGCCCAGAGGCAUGCGAGCCUCAUGAAACUCCUGUUUAUUCCUUCUAAACUGCCUUUCCAUAGGCCUAUUCGGUGUUCAGUCUUUGCAGCAUUCAUAAAUAUUAUAUUUGUAAUGCUACCGGAAGGCGGCAGUCUGAGUGGGCAGAAAAAAAAUGGGAGGAAGAAAAAUACUCUUUAUAAUACAAAAGAUAAUGCACCUGUCCAGAAAUGAAGCUUGGGGUUUGAAUUCCACAUUUGUUUUUUGCUCAGAUGCUUCGCUCACUCACCUAGUUUUUUUUUUUAUUAGAUUUCCUUUAGGAUCUUGUAAGAAUUUACAAGCAAUUUUAAGUUGAAAGGUUAAACAAUUCUUCCGUUACCUAAGAAAGGAAUAGGCUUUCAAUAUUUCUAAUUUCUUAAAGAAAACAGCAUAGCCGGUGGAAGAGGGGGUGGGGCAGGAUCAUUUUACAAUACGUAUAAAAAGUGUGUUGGAAAGUCUAUGGAAAGUUGUGAUCACAUCCAUGGUCCUAGAGCUCCCCCCCCCCCCUCCCCCGAAAAAUGUGAAAGUUUGCACUUUUCCUUUGACAAUUUAUCAAAACUAAAAACAAAAUGUAACGCGUCUCUCCAUUCUAUGUGUGGCCUUAGCGGCCGCCAAAAUCUUGCUGUAGGAACAUAUGACCGGGCGGGACAAAACGCCAUUUCUUGCGCCUUGUGCCAAUCAAACUAACAAAACAUACACUGAAAGCAACUGCUAAAAGAUGAUCAAAACUAAAUAUUUUCAGUGUUUCCAUAUUUUUUGAAAAAUAAUUUGGGAGUAGAAUCAACGAAAAUGAGAAAUAAGCCCCCUUCUUCUGUCGACUAUGCUGUGGACUUUUGUUUCCUUUAUGGGUCGUUUUACAAUCAGGGUAUAUCAUUUGAAAUGGCCUUCUGUGCAUCAGAAAAAGAAACCUAAUUGGUACUGUAAGACCAAACUGCAAAGAAGACAAUAUAUUGAACUACACAUUAAUUUCUCAAAAUUGACCAUAUCUGGAACUUUAGGGACAAAUUUACUGUCUUAUUUCUUUCUUUUUUUUCAAUUUGGAGCCCGCGCAUCUCUAUAUGCAGUCAUUAUGUAUUGUUUCACCAAUCAGAAUUAAUUAUUGGAUUCGUUGGAAAUUCUAAAUCCUCAAAAGCUUCAGACAGUUUUUAUUUUAGCGAAAAUUUUAUUGAUUGAUAACGUCUUUUUUAUACUUGUACAGUAAUAUGUAAAAUUCUUAGACGGUUUACUUUGCUCACUUCCGCUUAUUUUUCGGACAUUUUACCAGUUCCACUGUCCAAAAUGGUCCUCUGCGACAAUUUAAGCAAUUGGCAUAACUUAAUUGAUAAUUAUAUAAUUGAAUCUCUACAAAGAAGUGACCGUAUAUGCCUCACAAUUUUUUUAUCAAAUGAGACAGCUAAGUUACCCUGAUUGUAAAACGGCUCAUAAUCAUGAUAAAAGCCUUCAGAACAAUACUACACUGUUGAAUGCUCCUUGUGAAUUGUCAAACGUUGUCUGUAGUUCAAAGGAUGUUUUAUGAAAUAGUGAUUUGGAUCCUUGUUAUUUGAUAAACCACCCUCAUCUCAAAACCAUGACCUAUCUAUAUAACAAAUCAUUAGAACGAGUCAUCAGCAAAAUUCCUUGUUAGCUAAAAUAAAUGAUUGGUCACAUGGUAUAUUUCAGCCAAUCAUUUGAUUGGGAUCCAUAUCACUAUUUUAUAAACAUGAAGUAAAUGAUCGUGUUACAACCUCC